rnacentral:rRNA from 1 species
UCAAGUUAUUAAGGGUGCAGGGCGGAUGCCUUGGCACUAGGAGCCGAUGAAGGACGUGAUAAGCUGCGAUAAGCUUCGGGGAGUUGCACGUAAACUUUGAUCCGAAGAUUUCCGAAUGAGGAAACUCACUUAGAGUAAUGUCUAAGUAUCAUUAAGUGAAUACAUAGCUUAAUGAGGGGAACUCAGGGAACUGAAACAUCUAAGUACCUGAAGGAAGAGAAAGAAAUUCGAUUCCGUAAGUAGCGGCGAGCGAACGCGGAUUAGCCCAAACCAAUAAAGUUUUCUUUAUUGGGGUUGCGGACAUAUCAUAACGAAGAGGUAUCGUAAUUGAAGAGGUUUGGAAAGACCCACCACAGAAGGUAAUAGUCCUGUAUGUUAAACGAGAAGACUUUAGAUAUGAUCCAGAGUACCACGGGACACGUGAAACCCUGUGGGAAGCAGGAGGGACCACCCUCCAAGGCUAAAUACUACCUAGUGACCGAUAGCGUAUAGUACCGUGAGGGAAAGGUGAAAAGAACCCCGGGAGGGGAGUGAAAUAGAACCUGAAACCCUGCACUUACAAGCUGUGGAAGCACAUUUCUUGUGUGACCGCGUACUUUUUGUAGAACGGGCCAACGAGUUACGUUAAGUAGCAAGGUUAAGCACUUAAGGUGCGGAGCCGUAGCGAAAGCGAGUUUUAACUGAGCGUUCAGUUACUUGACGUAGACCCGAAACCGGGCGACCUACCCAUGAGCAGGAUGAAGCGAAAGUAAAAUUUCGUGGAGGUCCGAACCCACGAGCGUUGAAAAGCUCGGGGAUGACUUGUGGGUAGCGGUGAAAUUCCAAUCGAGCCCGGAGAUAGCUGGUUCUCCCCGAAAUAGCUUUAGGGCUAGCCUCAAGGUGAGAGAUACGGAGGUAGAGCACUGAAUGUCCUAGGGGGUAUUGCACCUACCGAAGACUAUCAAACUCCGAAUGCCGUCAUCUUAUACUUGGGAGUCAGACUGUGGGUGAUAAGAUUCAUAGUCGAAAGGGCAACAGCCCAGAUCGUCAGCUAAGGUCCCUAAAUGUAAGUUAAGUGGUAAAGGAUGUGGGAUUGCACAGACAACCAGGAUGUUGGCUUAGAAGCAGCCACUCAUUCAAAGAGUGCGUAAUAGCUCACUGGUCGAGUGAUCCUGCGCCGAAGAUUUCCGGGGCUAAAACUUACUACCGAAGCUACGGCAUCAUUAUGAUGGGUAGGGGAGCUUCCCAUACGGGUUGAAGCAUGACCGUAAGGACAUGUGGACAGUAUGGGAGUGAGAAUGUUGGCAUGAGUAGCGAGAUGUGGGUGAGAAUCCCACAGGCCGUAAACCCAAGGUUUCCAGGGGAAGGUUCGUCCGCCCUGGGUUAGUCGGGACCUAAGCUGAGGCCGAAAGGCGUAGGUGAUGGACAACAGGUUGAUAUUCCUGUACUACCGAUAACCGUUUGAGAGAUGGGAUGACACAGUAGGAUAAGCUAAGCACACUGUUGGUUAUGUGUGCCCAAGCAUUGAGGCAGUCAAAGUAGGCAAAUCCGCUUUGAUAAUGCUGGGAUGUGAUGGGGAGCGAAAUUUAGUAGCGAAGUAGCUGAUUUCACACUGUCAAGAAAAGUCUCUAUCGAGGUUAAAGGUACCCGUACCGCAAACCGACACAGGUGGGUGAGGAGAGUAUCCUAAGGCCAGCGAGAGAACUGUUGUUAAGGAACUCGGCAAAAUGACCCCGUAACUUAGGGAUAAGGGGUGCCACCAUCAGGUGGCCGCAGAGAAUAGGCCCAAGCGACUGUUUACCAAAAACAUAGGUUUCUGCUAAGUCGCAAGACGAUGUAUAGGAGCUGACGCCUGCCCGGUGCUGGAAGGUUAAGGGGAUCUGUUAGAGCAAUCGAAGCAGUGAACUUAAGCCCCAGUAAACGGCGGCCGUAACUAUAACGGUCCUAAGGUAGCGAAAUUCCUUGUCGGGUAAGUUCCGACCCGCACGAAAGGCGUAACGAUUUGGGCACUGUCUCAACAACAGACUCGGUGAAAUUGUAAUUCCGGUGAAGAUGCCGGAUACCUGCGACAGGACGGAAAGACCCCAUGGAGCUUUACUGUAGCUUGACAUUGGGUCUUGGUACUACAUGUACAGGAUAGGUGGGAGGCUUUGAAACCAGGACGCCAGUUUUGGCGGAGCCAUCCUUGGGAUACCACCCUUGUAGUACUGGGACUCUAACCAUAGGCCAUGAAUCUGGUCUUGGGACACUGUCAGGUGGGCAGUUUGACUGGGGCGGUCGCCUCCCAAAAGGUAACGGAGGCGCUCAAAGGUUCUCUCAGUACGGUCGGAAAUCGUACGUAGAGUGUAAAGGCAAAAGAGAGCUUGAUUGCAAGACAUACAGGUCGAGCAAGGAUGAAAAUCGGACUUAGUGAUCCGGUGGUUCUGCGUGGAAGGGCCAUCGCUCAACGGAUAAAAGCUACCCUGGGGAUAACAGGCUUAUCUCCCCCAAGAGUCCACAUCGACGGGGAGGUUUGGCACCUCGAUGUCGGCUCAUCACAUCCUGGGGCUGUAGUAGGUCCCAAGGGUUGGGCUGUUCGCCCAUUAAAGUGGUACGCGAGCUGGGUUCAGAACGUCGUGAGACAGUUCGGUCCCUAUCCGUCGCAGGCGUAGGAAAUUUGAGAAGACCUGUCCUUAGUACGAGAGGACCGGGAUGGACGUACCUCUGGUGUACCAGUUGUCCUGCCAAGGGCAUGGCUGGGUAGCUAUGUACGGAAUGGAUAAGCGCUGAAAGCAUCUAAGCGCGAAGCCAACUUCAAGAUAAGAUUUCCCACCGCAAGGGUAAGACCCCAGAAAGACUAUCUGGUUGAUAGGUCGAAGGUGUAAGUGCAGCAAUGUAUUUAGCUUAUCGAUACUAAUAGGUCGAGGACUUGACCAA